rnacentral:rRNA from 1 species
UAAUACGUAGGGGGCGAGCGUUAUCCGGAUUUAUUGGGCGUAAAGCGCGCGCAGGCGGCCGUGCAAGUCGGAUGUGAAAACACGAGGCUCAACCUCGUGCCUGCAUUCGAUACUGCUCGGCUAGAGGCAGGUAGGGGAGAUCGGAAUUCCCGGUGUAGCGGUGAAAUGCGCAGAUAUCGGGAGGAACACCGGUGGCGAAGGCGGAUCUCUGGGCCUGUCCUGACGCUUAGGCGCGAAAGCUGGGGGAGCGAACAGGAUUAGAUACCCUGGUA